UACGCUGGCGGUGCGUCUAAUGCAUGCAAGUCGAGCGAGAACUUCCGGCUUGCCGGAAGGGAAAGCGGCGAACGGCUUAGUAACGCGUGAGUAACCUGUCCUAGAGUGGGGUAUAACUUCGAGAGAUCGAUGCUAAUCCCGCAUAAGCUCUUGAAACCUUGGUUUCAAGAGGAAACCCGCAAGGGGCUCUUGGAGGGGCUCGCGUCCUAUCAGGUAGUUGGUGAGGUAACGGCCCACCAAGCCUAAGACGGGUAGCUGGUCUGAGAAGAUGGUCAGCAAGAGGGAGACUGAGACACGGCUCCCACUCCUACGGGAGGCAGCAGCAAAGAAUUUUGGGCAAUGGGCGAAAGCCUGACCCAGCGACACCGCGUGGAGGAUUAAGGCCUUAGGGUCGUAAACUCCUUUUCUGGGGGAAGAGAAAGGACGGUACCUCAGGAAUAAGCCCCGGCUAACUACGUGCCAGCAGCCGCGGUAACACGUAGGGGGCGAGCGUUACCCGGAUUUAUUGGGCGUAAAGAGCGCGUAGGCGGUAAGGCAAGUCUUCUGUGAAAUCUCCCGGCUCAACUGGGAGGGGUCAGGGGAUACUACCUUACUUGAGGGCAGCAGAGGAAGACGGAAUUCCCGGUGUAGCGGUGAUAUGCGUAGAUAUCGGGAGGAACACCAGAGGCGAAGGCGGUCUUCUGGGCUGAUCCUGACGCUGAGGCGCGAAAGCGUGGGUAGCAACCCGGAUUAGAUACCCGGCUAGUCCACGCCCUAAAUGGUGGACGCUAGGUAUGGGGGGUAUCGACCCCCUCCGUGCCGAAGCUAACGCAUUAAGCGUCCCGCCUGGGGAGUACGGCCGCAAGGCUAAACUCAAAAUGAAUGCGGC
rnacentral:rRNA from 1 species